rnacentral:rRNA from 1 species
AUGCUAACCAUGCAAGUCGCACGAGGACCUGGGGCUUGCUCCAGGGGAGAGUGGCGCACGGGUGCAUAACACGUAGAUAACGUUCCCUUUAGUUUGGAAUAACCUGCCGAAAGGCGGGCUAAUACCGGAUAAGUUCCCUUGAGGUUCGCCGAUGGGGAAGAAAGCAAGGCAACUUGCGCUGAAGGAUCGGUCUGCGUCCCAUCAGCUAGUUGGUGAGGUAACGGCUCACCAAAGCUACGACGGGUAGCUGGUCUGAGAGGACGAUCAGCCACACUGGGACUGAGACACGGCCCAGACUCCUACGGGAGGCAGCAGUGGGGAAUAUUGGACAAUGGGCGAAAGCCUGAUCCAGCAAUGCCGCGUGAGUGAUGAAGGCCUUCGGGUUGUAAAGCUCUGUCGGGAGGGACGAAAAAGCGGAUUAACAAACCGCAUUGACGGUACCUCCAAAGGAAGCACCGGCUAACUCUGUGCCAGCAGCCGCGGUAAUACAGAGGGUGCAAGCGUUGUUCGGAAUUACUGGGCGUAAAGCGCGUGUAGGCGGCGGCGUAAGUCGGGUGUGAAAUCCCUCAGCUCAACUGAGGAAGUGCACUCGAUACUGCGUCGCUUGAAUGUCGGAGGGGAUGGCGGAAUUCCCGGUGUAGAGGUGAAAUUCGUAGAUAUCGGGAGGAACACCUGUGGCGAAAGCGGCCAUCUGGACGACUAUUGACGCUGAUACGCGAAAGCGUGGGUAGCAAACAGGAUUUAAUACCCUGGUUAGUCCACGCUGUAAAACAUGAAUGCUAAACGCCUGGGGUAUUGGACCCCUGUGGGGUCAAAAUUAACACUUUAAGCCCCCCCCCUGGGGAAGUAGGGUCCCAAAUAUAAACCCAAAGGAUUUGACGGGGGCCCGCCUACCCGUGGUAACAUGUG